rnacentral:lncRNA from 1 species
UAUAAUCUUAUCAUGUUUCUUUGAAUUCAUCAUAUGUGCCGUUUCUUAUGGUGAAAUAAUAUUCUAUUACAUGCGUAUAUCAUAAUUUUCCCACCACUAUUCCCCAGUUGAUGGGUUCCCAUUUUGUUUCUAGGUUUUGCUAUGACAGAUUGCUGCUAUCAAUAUUUUCUUGUAUCAACAAAUGUCUAAUGAUGAUGAUAAUCAUUCCAAAAUGGGGGCACUUCAAUCCUGGAGGGAUGGAUAAAGUCAUUGAUCAUGCAUCUUAUCUCACAACUACCCUGGGAGAGAAUGUCAAAGUCUUGGAGAAUAACAAUGAAAAUGAAGAAUGGGUUGGAAGGCCAUUUUCUGAGAUUGUGCAUCAUAGAAGGCGAGAUUAUGCAUUUGGCACCAAAUUCUUUGGCAGACAGACACAGAAGAAAAUUAAAUACAGAGGAAAUCUCUUUAUCAGCAAGGAAAAGCCAAAACCAACACAAUUUAAACUCUGCGAUCGAAGGGCGGCAAGUGAAAGGUUUGCUAUUGUCAUAUCUCACCUACCUGU